AAGUCGUAACAAGGUCAACUCUUUGAGAGUGUGCUUAAGAAAUCCUUCUUUUCACUAUUCGAAGGCCUUUGCCGCCCGUCAAGGGUAGAACUCGCGACUACAAAAUAAUGAGAAGAAACUAAAGUCCUCUGGAAACAUGACUUUUGGGGCAAGCUAAAUUGUUCAGUUUAGCGAUCCGAUCAAAUUUUCGGGAAGACCUGAGCCAAGCAUAAUGAAGCUCUUUUGGAGCUACCGUGAACAGGUAAUUCUGCACGGUUAUCAGUUUGUGAUGGAUAAGACAAUGUCUGAACACUCUUAGUCAAACGACUUCGAGUUGAGGCAGUCUGUACAAUGGGUUGAUCCGAAGCCAAGUCUACUUAUAACGCAACCUUGAUGCCAACCUUGGUCGACGAUUCGUAGAAAGGUUAAACGACUGCACGGUCGGGGUCUGAACUUGACAAAGUCAUUUUCAGGUGAAGGUACAGUCUGAUCCCACGGGUAACUGUGGUCAUACGAUGAAGUCAUCCUGACUAUCGUACGAAAGAAAGUUUCGUAGGUGAACCUGCGGAAGGAUCAUUAGUGAUAUAUUGGAUUCCUCUGAAAAAGAGAAGGUCCAUUUCCACUUCAAACACUGUGCACUUGUCUUUACAAUUUUGUAAAACACACUGCCAAAAUUAUUAAAGUCCUGAUGUAUCUUUUGAUAAUGAAAUUAAAA
rnacentral:misc_RNA from 1 species